CCUAGUUGUAUCCAUUAUCCUAGUUUCAAGAAGAGGCAAGUGGUCAUACGUCGAUUUAUGAUAGGUUCAAUGGGAAAAGGAUGCCCACCUGCUGAAUUACCAUGAUUACUACACAAAUCUAAUAUGAAACGGCAACAUAAACAUCACCAUCUUAGAUACUUAAUCCAUUUGGUUAUUAUUCUGGAUGGAGCUUUUCAAAUAUCCAGUGUAUCUACCGUUGUUUGGAAUAUUACAUCGGAUCCAGUAAUUUUCGGUGAAAGCGUUACAUUGAAAUGCUACGUUCAGUUUGGCACAUGCAACACAAUUGAAUGGAGGAAAUGGAGUGGAGGAGUUUACAACAGGCUGAUUUGUUUAAAUGGUGAAUCAUAUUUCAAGGACAAAUAUAAAAUGAAUUUGAGUAAUAAAAGCCAGGACUAUGAAUUAGAAAUUUUACAUUUUAACGAAUCAGACGUCGGCUGCAACUAUACAUGCUCUUGUGGAUUCAACCAUUACACACACAAACUAUUGUUGAAAAAUUAUAUAUAUUACCCUGCAACGUAUUUUGUGUCUGAUACCCAGGUAAAUGUUGGCAUGUUGACCGGGAUAAUCACCAUGAGAUAUGUUUUCCCGAUUCCCAGCUGUGUCGCAAGAUAUGGUAAUAUAAAUCAUAAUAUGAGUUUUGCUGCAAUUUCACGAUUCAACUUUACAUAUACAUACGAUGAAAUCAAUACAAGGUAUAAAUUUAACGUUAAAGAAGCACGUUGUGCUAAAAACGUAACUAUCAAAUGUAGCCUUGGCCCGAUGAUAUUUGAAGUUACCAAAACAGUCCCUGACGUUACAUCCUAUUGUGAAGAACCCACUGAAAUAAAGCUGCUGAUAUUAUUAGUGAUAUUUGGACUUCUUGUUUUUUUGCCAAUACUGUUUGCUACGCUGUGGAUCAACUGUCUGGUAAAUGAAGAUGAAGACUCUUGUAGUGUGCAUUGUUUUAUUGUUCAUUUCGACUAGUUUAUGGUGCAUCCAAGGAGUGUACGACAAGGAAUGUUGCCUUUUGUUUUAUAUUCUACUUUCAAGGAUACAACACUAAUCUCUUAUUAAUGACAUUACAAUGGUAGAUGAAACGGAUUAAACUUUUUGUAUGUUCGUGUUCAUUAUAGGAUGUGAUUUUAACUGUACAUGAUGUGAUUUUUUAAUUAGAUGGUGUGAUUCUAUCUUUUGGUGUGCAAUCGACAUUACCUGACGUGCACUUAUAAUUCUAUGAGGAAUAAUGUUUAUAGUAAGCACUUGUCAUUAUAUGAUGUGCUAAUUUUAUAUUAUGUCAAUUUUUCUUUAUUGGAUGUGCUUUUACCAUUGAUUGUUUCGAUUUUGUCUUAAAGGGACAUUAGCCACAAGAUGUAAAAAAAAAUAUGAUUUG